rnacentral:rRNA from 1 species
CAAAGGAAGCGAUUCCGGCGGGGGAUGGGCAUGCGGCGCAUUAGCUAGUCGGCGGGGUAACGGCCCACCGAGGCGACGAUGCGUAGGGGUUCUGAGAGGAAGGUCCCCCACACUGGUACUGAGACACGGACCAGACUCCUACGGGAGGCAGCAGUGAGGAAUAUUGGUCAAUGGGCGGGAGCCUGAACCAGCCAAGUCGCGUGAGGGAAGACGGUCCUACGGAUUGUAAACCUCUUUUGCCGGGGAGCAACGGGGUCCUUGCGAGGGCCCGAUGAGAGUACCCGGAGAAAAAGCAUCGGCUAACUCCGUGCCAGCAGCCGCGGUAAUACGGAGGAUGCGAGCGUUAUCCGGAUUUAUUGGGUUUAAAGGGUGCGUAGGCGGGCUGUUAAGUCAGCGGUCAAAUGUCGGGGCUCAACCCCGGCCUGCCGUUGAAACUGGCGGCCUCGAGUGGGCGAGAAGUAUGCGGAAUGCGUGGUGUAGCGGUGAAAUGCAUAGAUAUCACGCAGAACUCCGAUUGCGAAGGCAGCAUACCGGCGCCCUACUGACGCUGAGGCACGAAAGCGUGGGUAUCGAACAGGAUUAGAUACCCUGGUAGUCCACGCAGUAAACGAUGAAUGCUAGCUGUCCGGUUCUACGGGACUGG